rnacentral:rRNA from 1 species
GACGAACGCUGGCGGCGUGCUUAACACAUGCAAGUCGAACGGAAAGGCCCUGCUUUUGUGGGGUGCUCGAGUGGCGAACGGGUGAGUAACACGUGAGUAACCUGCCCUUGACUUUGGGAUAACUUCAGGAAACUGGGGCUAAUACCGGAUAGGAGCUCCUGCUGCAUGGGGGGGGUUGGAAAGUUUCGGCGGUUGGGGAUGGACUCGCGGCUUAUCAGCUUGUUGGUGGGGUAGUGGCUUACCAAGGCUUUGACGGGUAGCCGGCCUGAGAGGGUGACCGGCCACCUGGGGACUGCGGUACGGCCCAGACUCCUACGUGAGGCAGCAGUGGGGAAUAUUGCACAAUGGGCCGAAGCCUGAUGCAGCAGCGCCGCGUGCGGGAUGCCGGCCUUCGGGUUGUAAACCGCUUUCGCCUGUGACGAAGCGUGAGUGACGGUAAUGGGUAAAGAAGCACCGGCUAACUACGUG